rnacentral:rRNA from 2 species
AAAUUGAAGAGUUUGAUCAUGGCUCAGAUUGAACGCUGGCGGCAGGCCUAACACAUGCAAGUCGAACGGUAGCACAGAGAGCUUGCUCUCGGGUGACGAGUGGCGGACGGGUGAGUAAUGUCUGGGAAACUGCCUGAUGGAGGGGGAUAACUACUGGAAACGGUGGCUAAUACCGCAUAACGUCGCAAGACCAAAGAGGGGGACCUUCGGGCCUCUUGCCAUCAGAUGUGCCCAGAUGGGAUUAGCUGGUUGGUGAGGUAACGGCUCACCAAGGCGACGAUCCCUAGCUGGUCUGAGAGGAUGACCAG